AUGGCCGUGGUGCUCGGCGCGUUCGUGCCGGACACCGCGGCGCGGUGGCGCGGCCUGGUGGAAGGGGAGGUGGCGGAGGAGCUGGGCGUCGCGGCGGCCGCGAGGAAGCUGGCGGCGAGGCUGGAGAGCGUGGCCGCCGUGCUGGGCGACGCCGAGGCGCAGGCGGCGCGCGGGGACGAGGCCACCGCGCGGUGGCUCGCCGAGGUACGCGCCGCGGCGUACGAGGCAGACGGCGCCGUCGACCGGUGCAGGGUCGCCGCGCGCCGGCUCGGGGGCAGGGAACCCAAGCAGCCGCAGCAGCAGCAGCAGGCUCUGCCUUGGCUCCUAUCCUCCUGCUGCGAGGACGCCGAGCCCCACGGCGACAUCGCUGCCGACCUCAAGCGCGUCAACCAGAAGCUGCAGGCGAUCCUGAGGAAGCAGCGCCGGCUGCAGCUCCACGCGGCGUACGCGGCUGAUCCCACCGUCCAUACGCGGACGUCGCUGAGGCGCCAGCCAACUGAUCCAGACAUCGCCGUCGGCACAAGGAUCGAGGACGACGCCCGACUGCUCGUUGAUCGGCUGACGCAGACGGGCAGGCCGGCGGCAUGCGAGGUUGUCGCCAUCGUCGGACCGGACGGCAUCGGCAAGACCAAGCUCGCUAGGAUGGUAUACGAGAGCGCGAGGGUGCGUUGCAGCUUCGGGACAACCUCAUGGGUUCGCCUCUCCAGAGGGUACACGGAGGCCGGCCUGCUCUCGCAGGUCAUCGACGCCUUUGGCGGCGACACAAAGGGCGGCGAGAGCGUCGCCGACCUCCAGGCAAUGCUGACAGGCCUGGUGGCGAACAAGAGGUUCCUGCUCGUGGUCGACGACGUGUGGUACGGCGGGGUGUGGGAGGACAUGCUGCAGAACCCACUGGAGCGCGGCGGCCGGGGCGGCAAGGUGCUGGUCACAGCGCGGCGCGGCAGCACCGCCCGCGAGAUGGGCGCCGGCCUUGUCCACCGGGUGAAGAGGCUCAGCGCCGACGAUGUCUGGCUGCUUCUCCGCACGGCGGCGUGCGUGGCCAACGACGAGAGCCAGCUGAAGGGCGUGGGCGAAAGGCUCGUCGAGAAGUGUGGCGGCAUCCCUCUGGCCAUCAAGGCGGUCGCCGGCGUGCUGAGGACACGGGAGGCCAGCGCCGACGCGUGGGGGAAGGUGCUCGCGAGCCCCGCGUGGCUGGUGAAGGGGCUCCCGGACGACGCCAUGAGGGCGCUGUACCUGUGCUACGAUGACCUGCCGCACCACCUGAAGCAAUGCUUCCUCUACUGCUCGCUGUUCCCCCCGGGCUUCCCUGUCGAAAGGCGGGUGCUCCUGCAGCACUGGAUGGCCGAGCGCUUGGUGCAGAGUAGGAGCGGCGCCUCCAUCGAGGAGGUAGCCGAGGGGUACUACGACGAGCUCGUCGGCAGGAACCUUCUCCAGACGACGCAGGAGGACGUGCGCGGGUGCACGGUGCACGAAGCGCUGCAUGCUCUGGCGCAGCUGCUCCUGCAGGGCGAGGGCUUCACCGGCGACGUCCAGCGGCUGCCCGACGACGGCGACGCCUCGUUCAGGCCACGGCGCGUCUCGCUUCCGGGAAGAAACAUGGCUGCGGUACCAGAGUGGAUCCUGAAUUCGGAGAGGGUAAGGACGCUGCUGCUUCCCAGGAACCCACUGGCAACCGAAGGAAACAUCUUCGCGAGGCUGCAUCACCAGCUGCGAGUCCUCGACCUGAGUGAAACAGGUAUUGUGCUCAUCCCAGAGACUCUGGGGAAUAUGGUUCACCUGAGGCUCCUCAACCUGUCCCGGACAGGGAUACAGGCGAUUCCAGAGUCCAUCGGCAACCUGUGGAGCCUGAAAUUCUUGCUGCUGAGGGAGUGCAAGUCACUGCAUGCUCUGCCCAAAGGCAUGAAGCACCUGAGGGGGCUCAGAGAUCUUAACCUUGAUGGAACGACGAUCAACGCCGCCGCGUUCAGGGUAGGCCAGCUGAGAAGCCUCACCUCCCUCCGGUGCUUCGCCCUGACCAGCAAAGAGGACAGGGGCGGGUGGCCUCUGGCUGAGCUCAAGCACUUGUGCCAGCUGAGGAUACUCCAUGUGCACAAGCUCGAGAGGGCCCCCGGUCGGUCUGAGGCAGCUGAAGUGGCACUUGCCAGCAAGAUGAGCCUCAGGGAGCUCGCGCUGUCAUGCAGCGACGACACUGUGAGUCUGCCGCAGACACCAACGGCUGUCAGGAAGAUUGAGGAUGUGCUUGAAGAGCUCAACCCUCCACCGUGCCUCGAGUCGCUAAAGAUUGCCGGCUAUUUUGGGGCCAAGUUCCCCAGCUGGCUCUCAGACAUUUCCCUCCCAAAUCUUCGCCACCUCGACAUCAUCGGGUGCAACUUGUGCCAGUCCCUCCCUCCACUAGGCCUGAUGCCAGAGCUGAGAUCGUUGAGCAUUGUCGAUUCUUCAGCUCUCAUGUCAAUCGAUGCAGAGUUCAUGGGCAAAUGCCACCACCCUGAGGUACCUUUUCCAAAGCUCGAGAACCUGCGCUUGCAAGGACUACGUAAGCUUGAAACAUGGAUGGAUAUCGAGGCAGGAGCGUUGCCCUCUUUGCAGGCAAUGCAACUCGAGAGCUGCCCUGAGCUGCGAUGCCUGCCUGGCGGCCUCAGACACAUGACAUCCCUGGUGGAGCUGCGCAUAGUGGACAUGGCGAGUCUCGAGGCUGUGGAGGACAUUGCUGCACUGAGGGAAUUGAGCGUUUGGAACGCACCUGAUCUGAAGAAGGUAUCAGGCGUGCCUUCCCUUGAGGACCUUAGCAUAUCCCACUGA
rnacentral:rRNA from 1 species